rnacentral:rRNA from 1 species
AUUGAACGCUGGCGGCAGGCCUAACACAUGCAAGUCGAGCGGAUGAAGGGGGCUUGCUCCUGGAUUCAGCGGCGGACGGGUGAGUAAUGCCUAGGAAUCUGCCUGGUAGUGGGGGAUAACGUCCGGAAACGGGCGCUAAUACCGCAUACGUCCUGAGGGAGAAAGUGGGGGAUCUUCGGACCUCACGCUAUCAGAUGAGCCUAGGUCGGAUUAGCUAGUUGGUGGGGUAAAGGCCUACCAAGGCGACGAUCCGUAACUGGUCUGAGAGGAUGAUCAGUCACACUGGAACUGAGACACGGUCCAGACUCCUACGGGAGGCAGCAGUGGGGAAUAUUGGACAAUGGGCGAAAGCCUGAUCCAGCCAUGCCGCGUGUGUGAAGAAGGUCUUCGGAUUGUAAAGCACUUUAAGUUGGGAGGAAGGGCAGUAAGUUAAUACCUUGCUGUUUUGACGUUACCAACAGAAUAAGCACCGGCUAACUUCGUGCCAGCAGCCGCGGUAAUACGAAGGGUGCAAGCGUUAAUCGGAAUUACUGGGCGUAAAGCGCGCGUAGAUGGUUCAGCAAGUUGGAUGUGAAAUCCCCGGGCUCAACCUGGGAACUGCAUCCAAAACUACUGAGCUAGAGUACGGUAGAGGGUGGUGGAAUUUCCUGUGUAGCGGUGAAAUGCGUAGAUAUAGGAAGGAACACCAGUGGCGAAGGCGACCACCUGGACUGAUACUGACACUGAGGUGCGAAAGCGUGGGGAGCAAACAGG